GACGAACGCUGGCGGCGUGCCUAAUACAUGCAAGUCGAACGCAGUGGGGACGGGUGAGUAACACGUGGGUAACCUCCCCACAGAGGGGAUAACCCUUGGAAACAGGUGCUAAACCGAUACUGAUGGAUGGACCCGCGGUGCAUUAGAUAGUUGGUGAGGUAACGGCUCACCAAGGCCACGAUGAAUAGCCGCCCUGAGGUGGUGAGCGGCCACACUGGGACUGAGACACGGCCCAGACUCCUACGGGAGGCAGCAGGAGGGAAUCGUCGGCAAUGGACGAAAGUUGUACCGAGCAACGCCGCGUGAGUGAAUAAGGUUUUCGGAUCGUAAAACUCUGUUGUUAGAGAAGCGGUAUCUAACCAGAAAGCCACGGCUAACUACGUGCCAGCCGCCGCGGUAAUAC
rnacentral:rRNA from 1 species